rnacentral:lncRNA from 1 species
GAUACCUAAUUCUUCUAGCAUCCCUCAAUAGAUGCUAUCCUAGUAGCAUUCAUCGGUAAACGCCAUUAGUGACAUCCAUCAGUAAAUGUCUAACCAUAUAGCAUCCAUCAGUAGAUGCUAAUCUUUCUUAUCUUCAUUGCCAUCCAUCAGUAGACACCAAAUCACCUAACAUCCAUCAGUAGAUGUUGUAGAAGCAUCCAUCAAUAGAUGCUAUCAUUACUGCCAUCAGAAGUAACGCAUAACCCAAAAAAAAAUAAAAUAAAAGAAAAUAAAAUAAAAUAAAAUAAAAUAAAAUGAAAUGAAAUAAAAUAAAAUAAAAUAAAAUAAAAUAAAAUAAAAUAAAAUAAAAUAAAAUCAAAACGAAAUUAAAGAUAAAAAAUUCAGAAANUGGGUUGCCUCCCANCAAGNGCNCUUUUAACGUCAUUAGCUUGACCNGGUAAAGCCCAAACACCCAUUAGUAGGUGUUGAUAUUUUCUGUUGGCGUUCUUCCUUCCCCCAUGACACCAACAACAUCUCGAGACUUUUCUUGUCACCAACUCUAAGGAUCCUCCAUCUUCAAAAUUCUGUUUGCUUUGAUAGUCUUGACAACCCAUAACCUAUUCUUGAAUUUCACUGAUAUGCCAGGUUUGGGUUGUCACUUUUCACAUCAGGGUGUUGCUGAACCAAUUCUCCUUCCUUAUCUGCCUCCUGAUGAUCUUAUGCUAUUAGUACCAA